GUUCUGUUGUUCAGUUGUGUCUCUUUGUGACUCUAUUCGGAGUUUUCUUGGCAAAGACUUUGGUGUGGUUUGCCAUUUUCUUCUCUUGCUCAUUUUACAGAGACAAAACUGAGGCAAAUAGGGUUAAGUGGCUUGCUUAGGGUCCCACAGCUAUUAAGUGUCUAACAUCAGAUUUGAACAUGAGAUCUGAGCCUUCCUGACUCCAAGCCUGGUGCUUUAUCUACUGUGCUACCUAGCUGCCCCAAAGGAAGGUAAUCUUUCCCAAUUACAUUUUAAUCUGGUUUGGGGAGCUUCCCUCCUAGAGUACUUAAUGAUUGGGGCAAAAUCAUCACAGAAAUGAUAAACAGCAUUAUUUUUGUUUUCUCAGAACACUGGUAAGAUGCUGAAGACUAGAAAAGAGCACACGCUUAGAAUGCCUUUCUUUCAAAAAAGGAUAAUGAAUAUUGCCCCUGCUCUUCCUAGGAAUGAAUGGGGAGUGCAGCUGAAUUUCCAGGCUUUCAAUCUAAUGGCUACUGGAGGAUUCAUGGAUGGAAUGAAAGAAGGCUCACAGGUGUUAACAUGUUUUAAUUAAUUUCAAUUCUUCUGAUUAGAAAGACUAUUUACAAGCAUGAUUUCAUAGGAACCUGAAGAGAAACACAGGAAGGACAGCCUAAAGGGACUAAUUUCUCCAAAUAGGAUUAAAGCUGAGCAGUUAAUUUGAUUAGAUUAUCUAUACAAACCCCUAAAGAGAGAAAAGGAGACUUACAUUCACCAUAGGAUGGAACACAGG
rnacentral:lncRNA from 1 species